GACAGAGGAGCCAAGCGUUGUCCGGAGUUACUGGGCGUAAAGCGCACGCAGGUGGUUGGGCAAGUGCUGUGUGAAAGCCGGUGGCUUAACUGCCGGAGGCCAGAGCAGACUGCCUAACUGGAGCCCGUGAGAGGUCCGUGGAAUUGCCGAUGUAGCAGUGAAAUGCGUAGAGAUCGGCAGGAACACCAAAGGGGAAGCCAGCGGACUGGCACGGCGCUGACACUGAGGUGCGACAGCGUGGGGAGCAAACCGG
rnacentral:rRNA from 1 species